rnacentral:rRNA from 1 species
CCCUUAGAUGUUCUGGGCUGCACGCGCGCUACACUGAUGCAUUCAACGAGUAUAGAACCUUGCCCGGAAGGGUUGGGUAAUCUUCUCAAAGUGCAUCGUGAUGGGGAUAGAUUAUUGUAAUUAUUAAUCUUGAACGAGGAAUUCCUAGUAAGUGCGAUUCAUCAGAUCGCGCUGAUUACGUCCCUGCCCUUUGUACACACCGCCCGUCGCUCCUACCGAUUGGGUGAUCCGGUGAAUAAUUUGGACCUUGAGGCCUUCGGGUUUUAGGGGAAAUUUAGUGAACCUUAUCACCUAGAGGAAGGAGAAGUCGUANCA